UGAAUCAACUCUAUGUUAUCCCCUGAUAUUUCGGCCCAAGUUCUUGACAUUGCCAAUGCAAAAGAUCUUUGGUUUACCCUUCACAAUUCCUAUGUGCAACAAUCUAAGAUGCGAUUGAUGCAUCUUCGCACCGAGCUUCAAAAUUGCACACGAAAUAGUGACUCAACCACUGGAUCUGGACCACACAUGAGGUUCUCUAUGCAUCCUCUCAAAUGCCCAAAGGAAGAUGAAAAGCCCCAGGUCAUGGAAGAGGAAGAGGACUCGGUCAUGGGAAUCUAAGUGGUGCUCAAGGUGGUCCACCACACUAUGCAGGUCGAGAAAGAUGACUUUUACCAAAACCCCCAAUACAUCUUAUGAAUAGGACUGAUACUGAAUCUUGCCAAAUCUGUGGUCGCACAAACCAUCUCGCUCAUCGGUGCUAUUAUCACUACACUCGACAGAACUCUCAAGACAAUACUUUGACUCACUCUCUCAGGUCUAUAUAUCUCCCUUGAGUCAAGUCGGAUUGUUGACACUGGAGCUACAAAUCAUGUAGUUGAUGAUUCAGCCCGAAGGUUCAGCCGAAUCAGACCCGAAGCAGACCGAAGCAGCCCGAAUCUGGCCGAAGUGCAGUACCACGCUUCUCUUUGCUUCGGUUUAUGCUUAAAAUCCAAAGGCUUUGGCUUCUUCGGCUGAAGAUAAGUAAAUUUGAUGAUUUGAAGUGGUUUAGCACCAUUUUUAUAUUUUGCAUCAUAUUCCCUGGACUGAGAGAGCUAUGGUCAUUUUAUUCAUCUACUCUUCAAAAUUUAGCAGCCUCUUUAUUUCGGAUAAUUUUCUAUUGUCCCUCAAUCUUGUUAAAAAAACCAUGUAUAAAUUAUAUUGAUGUUUAGAAGGUUGAGUAAGGAUUGUAUCUAAAAAAUUUUAGCUUAAAAUUUGCCAUAGAUGGUGGGAAAUCAAUAAAAAAGGUGGAUCUAAAUCCUAGGGACUGCAACUCAUAAACACCUUUCUCCUUAUUUUUUGAUUUGAUUUGAUAUGGAUCAAUGCAGAGAACCCUUUUGGUAUAUACCUUGAUGGAAAGAUAUCUAAGUCUGAAACAACAUAUCAAAAUUUCAGCUCAUUUGGAUGUGUGGGUUGGGAGAUAUGAUCGAAACUUGGAGAAAGAGUAACCUCUUGUUUGCUGCUAGUCCACUGCUAUAACAUGGUCUUUUCCCUUUAAAAAGUGGUGUUCCCUUCGAAAAUGGAACCUUCUGACCUCAGAUUGUGUCCAAAUUUCCCUUAGAGGGAUUCCUAUACUCACAUAAAAUUUUACACCUCUUGGACAUGGAUUUAUAGGGUUCCUUUGAAAUUUUGGCCUCUUUUGGGUCCGAACUAUGCUCGAAAUCUUGGACUUCGCAAGCCAAAUCUUGGCCGUCGGAUAUCAGAAUGACUGAUUGUUUGGAGGACACCUUUAGGGCACCCUAGAUUAAUAUUUGGAACCCUUGGAUGGUCAUUUGGGCAUGUUUGACCAAGCUCUAUAAUGGCCAUGUGCUUGUCCAUUUGAUAUAGCUAGGACUUUUACUUUCCUUCAUUUUCACCUCAUAUUACGUUGAUCUCCAAGGUUUUGAGUUAAAUUGCUAGAAUACCUCAGCUUAUUUGAGUUUCCAACCCAAAAUUACAAAUAAUUUUAACAUUUUUUAAAAUUUUUUUUGAGAAGGUAAAAAAAAUUUAGAAGCAUGUGGGUUACAACUUUUGAGGCAGUAUGGGUUCCAAAUAAUUUCCUUACACUAAGAUCAAUUUCUUUAAAGGUAAACAUUGGUGUUCCCAUAUGCUCGGGAUCCGUGGCAAUUCGAAAAUUUUAAGAUAGACGGCCCACUUAAUGUACAAUAAAUGAGAGGAUAUUUCAGUUUUUGAAAGCUCUAAAUGAAAUCAAAUUUAAAAAUAAUUACCUUUUUAUAGUUUGGAAUUCUAUAGGGUAUCGUUUAGCAGGAAGUUACUCUUCUAUGAGAGAGGCUCGGUGAACUAGACAUGUAUGUAAAGAUGUGGACUACUUGCACCUGGACAAAAAGACACAGCUUUACCCUAGGAUUGGCCUUGGGCCCUUCUUGAGAUAAAAUUAAUUUAGAGGGUAUGUGUACAUAAUAGGGUAAUCUUUAUAAAAUAUCAAAAACUAAUUUAUAUAAAGAAAAAAAACCAAAAUACCACUCAAAUUUCAAGGGAAAAUUUGUCAUUGCUUUUUACAAAUUUUUUUACAAUUUUUUUUUAUCUGUGCGAAUCAUUUAGAUGUAGAGACACACUUUCAAAUCCAUCCAAUAUAUACCUUGAAGUACCCUGGUCAUGCAAUCCAGAUCUAACAGUUGCGAUCAAUAGUAUUUUAGGUAAUCUAUACUGUGGAAUUUCAGAGGUGUUUCAUUCGUUCUAUUUAUUUUCAAAAAAUAUUUUAUAUUUUUUACAUGUUUUUGAGAGGGAGAAUCAUAGAGUUAUCCUAUAUUUAGAAAAUAAAAUAUUUAGAUAUAAAAUUUAAAUACUCAGAUACACUCUUAACCGUCCGUGAGGUUAUUUUAAUCACUAUAUUGUAUAUUGUUUCCAAAUUAUUGUUGUUUUCAAAUUAUUGUUUUAAAUUUUUUAUAGGCACUUGAGAGUUAAAAGUAUAGAAGCAAUUUGAUUUAUAGAAAAAUAAAAGAAAAUUGAAAUAUUUAGACUUGGUUCUCACCUUAUGCAUUUUUUUUUUUUUUAUGUGAUACAUAGUGUCAAAUUCGCUAGACCUAUUGUGGAUGAGCUAUGAUUUUGAAAUGUCAUUUAUUUAACAAAGAUUACCAUAUCAUUAACGAAAACCUUAAUAAAUGGUUGAACUUGGCUAAUUUUUGAACUUGCCUAAUUUUUACAUCUCCUAAUUUACGACACUUCAGCUCAAACCAAACCUAGUUUUUCAAAAGUGCGUGGUUUGUAUACAACCGAGGCUCUAAAUAUUCAAAUUAGAGCCCACCUUCAAAUAGUAUAAAAAAAUGUGGUUUCAAUAAUGGAAUU